rnacentral:rRNA from 1 species
GUCCACGCCGUAAACGUUGGGCACUAGGUGUGGGGCUCUAUCGACGGGCUCUGUGCCGUAGCUAACGCAUUAAGUGCCCCGCCUGGGGAGUACGGCCGCAAGGCUAAAACUCAAAGGAAUUGACGGGGGCCCGCACAAGCGGCGGAGCGUGUGGCUUAAUUCGAUGCAACGCGAAGAACCUUACCUGGGCUUGACAUGUUUGGUAAAGCGGUAGAAAUACCGUGUGCUUCGGCGCCUUACACAGGUGGUGCAUGGCUGUCGU